UUGAACGCUGGCGGCAGGCCUAACACAUGCAAGUCGAGCGGAUGAAGGGAGCUUGCUCCUGGAUUCAGCGGCGGACGGGUGAGUAAUGCCUAGGAAUCUGCCUGGUAGUGGGGGAUAACGUCCGGAAACGGGCGCUAAUACCGCAUACGUCCUGAGGGAGAAAGUGGGGGAUCUUCGGACCUCACGCUAUCAGAUGAGCCUAGGUCGGAUUAGCUAGUUGGUGGGGUAAAGGCCUACCAAGGCGACGAUCCGUAACUGGUCUGAGAGGAUAAUCAGUCACACUGGAACUGAGACACGGUCCAGACUCCUACGGGAGGCAGCAGUGGGGAAUAUUGGACAAUGGGCGAAAGCCUGAUCCAGCCAUGCCGCGUGUGUGAAGAAGGUCUUCGGAUUGUAAAGCACUUUAAGUUGGGAGGAAGGGCAGUAAGUUAAUACCUUGCUGUUUUGACGUUACCAACAGAAUAAGCACCGGCUAACUUCGUG
rnacentral:rRNA from 1 species